rnacentral:misc_RNA from 1 species
GGUUGGCAGUUUACCACCGGG